rnacentral:rRNA from 1 species
AUUGAACGCUGGCGGCAGGCCUAACACAUGCAAGUCGAGCGGAUGAAGGGAGCUUGCUCCUGGAUUCAGCGGCGGACGGGUGAGUAAUGCCUAGGAAUCUGCCUUGUCGUGGGGGAUAACGUCCGGAAACGGGCGCUAAUACCGCAUACGUCCUGAGGGAGAAAGUGGGGGAUCUUCGGACCUCACGCUAUCAGAUGAGCCUAGGUCGGAUUAGCUAGUUGGUGGGGUAAAGGCCUACCAAGGCGACGAUCCGUAACUGGUCUGAGAGGAUGAUCAGUCACACUGGAACUGAGACACGGUCCAGACUCCUACGGGAGGCAGCAGUGGGGAAUAUUGGACAAUGGGCGAAAGCCUGAUCCAGCCAUGCCGCGUGUGUGAAGAAGGUCUUCGGAUUGUAAAGCACUUUUAGUUGGGAGGAAGGGCAGUAAGUUAAUACCUUGCUGUUUUGACGUUACCAACAGAAUAAGCACCGGCUAACUUCGUG